rnacentral:lncRNA from 1 species
GUUGCCCAGGCAGAGACAUCAGAGAAGAAGGACAUGGUGCCACAAAGAUGCUCAGUUCAUGAGGAGCAGAGCAAAGGAGCAGCACCAGGGAGGCAGGGGACAGGGACCAAGAUCAUGCCUUUAUGACCACUGAGACACACCCAGAAGUGGCUUUACUACUUCUCCAGUUGCCAGAGCCUAGAAGAGAAAGGACAACAACACAGAAAAGCCAGCGCUCCGGAGAGGAGGAAGACGCCCUGAGGUGCCAUUUGUGAAGGUCAUGAACCAUUGAAUACGGGUGAUGUUACACAGAUCAACCUAUUAAAGAUGAGCUGCUUAAUGGAGGCAGCAUAAUUUGUGAGCUGACAGGGCCUAGAUCUGUGAGGCUUUGUUCCUAAUCAUGGAAACAUGACAGACCUUUGACCCAAAGCAAACAGAAGAGUAGCUCCAGUGGAUAAACCAGAAAAGUGGGCACAUCGAUGGCAUGCAGGAUGGCUGGUGCAUUCUCAGGGUGAAGGUGAAGAGGAUGAGGUUUUAGACGGCUCUGCCUACUCAGACCUGAAGGAGGUGGGUGUUAAUUCCAGAGAGGUGUGUUCACCCCGCACGACUCCUAGAGGAUCCUAGACAAAACCUUGAUCAGAAAAAUCCAGCAAGGAAAGUUUAACAGUGGAUCUAUUGAGCAG